rnacentral:tRNA from 1 species
UUAAAAGUAAACUAAUUAAAGUUAAGUUUUUGUUAAAAACUUUAUGAGUUUAUAAACUCCUUUUAAG